UACGUAGGAGGCGAGCGUUGUCCGGAAUUACUGGGCGUAAAGCGCGUGUAGGCGGUCUGAAUAGUCUGCUGUGAAAGCGCCUGGCUUAACCGGGCGAGGUCGGCGGAAACUCUCAGACUGGAGGCCGGUAGAGGGGGGUGGAAUUCCCGGUGUGGUGGUGAAAUGCGUAGAGAUCGGGAGGAACACCUGUGGCGAAGGCGGCCCCCUGGGCCGCGCCUGACGCUGUGGCGCGAAAGCUAGGGGAGCAAACGGG
rnacentral:rRNA from 1 species